rnacentral:rRNA from 1 species
GAUGAACGCUGGCGGCGUGCCUAAUACAUGCAAGUCGAGCGAAAAGACGAGGAGCUUGCUCCUCUGACGUUAGCGGCGGACGGGUGAGUAACACGUGGAUAACCUACCUAUAAGACUGGGAUAACUUCGGGAAACCGGAGCUAAUACCGGAUAAUAUAUUAAACCGCAUGGUUCAUUAGUGAAAGACGGUUUUGCUGUCACUUAUAGAUGGAUCCGCGCCGCAUUAGCUAGUUGGUAAGGUAACGGCUUACCAAGGCAACGAUGCGUAGCCGACCUGAGAGGGUGAUCGGCCACACUGGAACUGAGACACGGUCCAGACUCCUACGGGAGGCAGCAGUAGGGAAUCUUCCGCAAUGGGCGAAAGCCUGACGGAGCAACGCCGCGUGAGUGAUGAAGGUCUUCGGAUCGUAAAACUCUGUUAUUAGGGAAGAACAAAUGUGUAAGUAACUAUGCACGUCUUGACGGUACCUAAUCAGAAAGCCACGGCUAACUACGUG